UUCCGGUUGAUCCUGCCAGAGGUUACUGCUAUCGAGGUUCGACUAAGCCAUGCGAGUCGAAUGUAGCAAUACAUGGCGUACUGCUCAGUAACACGUGGACAACCUGCCCUUAGGACGGGUAUAAACCCGGGAAACUGGGUAUAAUUCCCGAUAGGUCUCGUCUGCUGGAAUGCAUCGAGAUCCAAAGCUCCGGCGCCUAAGGAUGGGUCUGCGGCCUAUCAGGUAGUAGUGGGUGUAGCGUACCUACUAGCCUACGACGGGUACGGGUUGUGAGAGCAAGAGCCCGGAGAUGGAUUCUGAGACACGAAUCCAGGCCCUACGGGGUGCAGCAGGCGCGAAAACUUUACAAUGCUGGGAACAGCGAUAAGGGAACCUCGAGUGCCAGGUUACAAAUCUGGCUGUCGUGAUGCCUAAAAAGCAUUAUAUAGCAAGGGCCGGGCAAGACCGGUGCCAGCCGCCGCGGUAACACCGGCGGCUCGAGUGGUAACCGUUAUUAUUGGGUCUAAAGGGUCUGUAGCCGGCCGGAUAAGUCUCUUGGGAAAUCUGGCAGCUCAACUGUCAGGCUUUCGGGGGAUACUGUCUGGCUCGAGGCCGGGAGAGGUGAGAGGUACUUCAGGGGUAGGGGUGAAAUCUUGUAAUCCUUGAAGGACCACCAGUGGCGAAGGCGUCUCACCAGAACGGACCUGACGGCAAGGGACGAAAGCUAGGGGCACGAACCGGAUUAGAUACCCGGGUAGUCCUAGCCGUAAACGAUACUCGCUAGGUGUCGGCCACGGUGCGACCGUUGUCGGUGCCGUAGGGAAGCCGUGAAGCGAGCCACCUGGGAAGUACGGCCGCAAGGCUGAAACUGAAAGGAAUUGGCGGGA
rnacentral:rRNA from 1 species